UGCAAGUGUGAGAGCAAUCCUCUCCCCAUUGUUGAUCCUGACGACGGAGAUGAUCUGAGCGACACCCAAUUCUAUAUCAUCACCGUCGUUCCCCCGGACGGCGACAUCGACCUACUUGGCGCCGAAGAGCUCGAGCAAUACCACCUCUCCUUCCUGCCCAACUCCACCCUCGACUCCGGCGCCCCGCGCCUCGUCCACUCCUUCCGCCACGCUUUCAGCGGAUUUGUGGCGAGACUGACUCCUGCAGAAGCCGCCGCCGUGAAAGCCGUGGCUGGCGUCGUCGAUGUCAAAGAAAACGGGAUUACGCGGCUCGGGACCACUUACACCCCGACGUUCCUGGGCCUGAACGGCUACAACGGCCUCUGGUACAAGACCAAAGGGGAGGGCGUAAUCAUCGGCAUCCUCGACAGCGGCAUCUCCGAGAACCACGUGUCCUUCAAGGACGACGGCAUGCCGCCGGCCCCUGCGAAGUGGCGCGGCUGCUGCGAGUUUGUAAACAGCAAGUGCGACCCCUUUCUGCCGACGGUGUGCAACAACAAGCUCAUCGGCGCACGGAAGCUGAGCUACAAUUCCCCCAAGGACGAAGCGGGGCACGGAAGUCAUUGCGCAAGCACAGCCGCAGGGAACUUUGUUCAGAACGCCGAGGCGCGCGGCCACGCGGAGGGCACCGCGGCCGGCAUGGCCCCGCGGGCGCACAUUGCUUCCUACAAGAUGUGCGGCAGUAGCACGGUCCAGUGCUCGGCCUUCUCAGAAGCCCGGGGCCUGGACCUGGCUAUUGCCGACGGCGUUGACGUGCUGUCCCUCUCCAUCGACUCCUACCAGGAGCCGCUGUACAAGAGCAACAUCGCCAAGGCGUCGUUCGUCGCGAUGGAGAAGGGCAUCUUCACGAGCGCGUGCGCGGGGAACGCCAUGGGGAACGUCCGGAAGGAGGUGGUGAAUGACGCCCCCUGGAUCUUGACUGUCGGCGCCAGCACGACCGACCGAAGGGAGCGCGCGGUCGUGCGGCUCGGCAACGGGAUGGAGUUUUACGGCGAGUCUGCGUAUCCUUUAGAAAUGUCAAACGGGACAGGAACAGUGCCGCUCGUUUACCCGGGGAAAGUGGAUAGCACGCCUGCGAGGCUGGGCUGUAAGAAAGGCGGGCUGGAUGGCUUAGACGUUACAGGGAAGAUCGUGGUGUGCGGCGUCGGAGAGACGGAGGAGCGCGAGAAGGCGGAGAUCGUGAAGAAGGCCGGGGGAGUGGGCAUAAUAUUGCUCGGCCAGCAAUGGAACGGGCAGACCACGUACGCCGAAUCACUCGAACUUCCUUCCGUUUGGAUGGGCAACCUCGACGCCGUCGCGAUUGUGAACUACGCUCUGAACACCGACGAUCCCACAGGGGAGAUUGCUUUCAAAGGCACGCAGUUCGGCUACCGACCGGCCCCUGCCGUAGCCGGAUUGUCGGCGACGGGCCCGAGCAAGUACAACGGCGGCAUCCUGAAGCCUGACAUUCUGGGGCCGGGCAUCAACAUCCUUGCCGCCUGGCACAAGCAGGUCGGGCCAAGUCCCACCGGCUCCGAUGACCAGGCGUUCAACUUCGGCAGCGGAUGCUCAAUGGCUACGCCGCACCUGGCGGGGAUUGCCGCGCUGCUCAUGAGCGCCCACCGGGACUGGUCGGUGGCCAUGAUCAAGUCGGCGAUCAUGACGACGGCGCUUACAAAGGACAAAGACGGGAGCCCAAUAAUGGACGAGCGGAGCGAGGAUAUGACGCGGCCCGCGAGCUUGCUCACCACGGGAGCCGGGCAGGUCAAUCCCUCGGCGGCCUACGAUCCGGGCCUCGUUUACGACAUCCAGCCAGAUGACUACGUCCGGUACCUCUGCGGACUGUACAGGAACAACGAUUUGACGGUCAGUGGGAUUGCUCGUCGGAAGGUCAGUUGUUCUGUCAUCGGGGGGAUUGCAGCUGAGGAUCUGAACUAUCCGUCUAUUUCGGUCAAGUUGUCAUUGGGGUCGGAGAAGAACAUAAGCCGAACCGCGACGAAUGUAGGGGAUGCCGCGUCGACGUACACGCCGGAGGUGAUCGAACCGGAAGGAGUGAGCGUGGAAGUAAACCCUGGAACGCUUGAAUUCGCAGCAGUUAUGGAGAAGAAGAGCUUCAACGUGACGCUCAAAGCAAAGAGCAAACUGCGGGGUGGGGGGCGCAGAGAAGGGUACUUGUAUUGGAAAUCAACUGAUGGCAAGUAUAGAGUUGGGAGUCCCAUUUUGGUGCAGUUCUAAGUAAAUAUUGUGAGUACAUCUCGUGUUGUUUCUUUUUCACACUUUGAUCAGUUGAUCACGCAGAAAGUUCUUAAUAAAAAAAAAAAAAGAUGAUAAUAUGGUUACGAAGUUGAAAAAUUAAGAUGAUAAUAUGGUUACGAAGUUGUACUGCACCGAAUACCUUGUAGGAAGUUUCAUCACCUAUCAUGUAUCUCCCUACAAUUUAGAUGUUUUAUAGUUAGCUUCAAUAUUGUAUUUUCUUUUAAGAAUUAAUUUAAUAAAAGUAAUCUAUGGACUUGUUUGGUUUCAUCUAAUUUAGACUUUCGAACCAGAUUGCGAUUCACUGAUUACAAUAAAAUAUUGUUUACUUUAGACAAAUCGAAUUUUGAUUCUCAUUCUAGCCUAAAAUGGAAAUGUUCCAAUCCAUUUACAACUUAAUUCGACUUCAAAUUCUAAAUUGAUCCAUUCAAAAAUAAAUCACUUAAGCCUUACCUCUCAAACAUCUCUACCUCCUCUCCCCUUAUCACUCUCCUCUUCUCUAUUAAAAUCAUUUCUCAAUUUUUUUUUUGUAUUUCAAUUACUCAUUAUAAUUUUCAUUCCAAUAAUAAAUCAAAUAAUUUAAAAUUUUUUUUUAUUAUUUUUCAUUUUAAGGCACUCAAAUUUUAUUUUUAUUUUCAUUCCAAUUAUAAGCUAAAUACGUCCUAAAAGGUACAUUUAACAAUAGUAAUUUAUUUUAUUAAUAUUUUUAUUUGUGAAACAAUGAAACUACAUCAUCCUCUUUGCAAGUAUUUGAUAUUGGCCCGAGAUUACCCGAUCUCUAGCAUAUGUUAAUCUAUUAACGAAAGUUUGGAACGAGCUACAAUGGCCUGUCUUUAGCUUCAUGCACCUUACUUUUCUCCUUUUUUCUACUUCCUCCCUCUUCCCCUAUCUUCCUUUUUUCACUUCUUCUUGCUAUUUUUUUUUACCUAUUUUCGGAGGUCGAAGCUGCUUUCAUUUUGUAUGCCUAAUUCAUUUUACUUAAUGAAUGAAGCAGGUAGCUCGCUACCUAUUUUUCAAAGAGCAAUGCUUCAAUACACCAUAGGUAUUAAAAUUAAACUCUUAAUUAGUAAAGGGUAUAGUUGGAUUUUACAUAAAAUAACCUAUUGAAUAGGUUGUCAAUUUGAAUUAGUUAAUAUGACAAUAUUGGAAAAAAAUUAGUAGCAUAUACUAAAAUUGUCAGCAUCUUUUAAUUAGUUUUGUUACUUACCAAAUUAGAUAAUACCCAAUUUGUUAAGUAUCAAACUCAAAAAAAUAUUGAAUUUAAAUUUAAGUUUUGAAGUUGGUAUUGUAAUGUAAAGUUUUAAUUUCAAAAUUUAUAUUAAACUUUUAAAUUUUGAACCUACAUUGUACUUUUAAUCUGAAAACCAAAUUUUAAUUUUUGAUUUAAAUUACAANCUACAUUGUACUUUUAAUCUGAAAACCAAAUUUUAAUUUUUGAUUUAAAUUACAAUUUUGAAUUUGAACUGAAAGUUUUUUUUAAAAUUUGUGUUUUAUAUUUAAAAAGUGAAUUUGAUUUAUAAUUAAGUUUGUUAUGUUGCUUUGCAUUUAAAUUUAUAAUUUAGUUGUAAUUUGAAUUCCAACUAUUGUUGUAGGUAUUUGAGAAGGUUAUAGUAUUUUUUAGUUAGAUUGAACCGGUUUUGUAGGCGAAAAUAUUUUUCUAUGACCAAAAUACCCUUUAAAUAGGUACCUGGUGAAUGGUACCUAUGCCUAAAUAGUAAGUCGUCUCUAGAAUCAUAUUACAUCUCAACCAUCUAUGUAAAAAAAUAAAUGGUCAAGAUUUACAUAAGAUUUAGAUGGUGUAUUGAAGUAUUACUCUUUUUCAAAAAAAAAAAAGAUAUUGGCCCGAAACAAUUUCAUUUUCCGGGCAGCACCCUCCGACGCUACCCGAUCUCUAGCACGUGUUAAUCUAUUAAUGAUGGCUUAGAACGAGCUACAAUGACCUGUCUUUAGCUUCCUGUACCUUACUUUUCUCCUUUUUUCUACUUCCUCCCUCCUCCCCUAUCUUUUUUUUUUCACUUCUUCUAGCUAUUUUUUUUACCUGUUUUCGGAGGCCGAAGUUGCUUCCACUUUUUAUGCCUAGUUCAUUUUAUUUAAUAAAUGAAGCAGAUAGCUCGCUAUCUAUUUCUCAAAAAAAAAAAGAUAAUGCCCCGAGACUCCAAAAUAGUAUUUACAAGUUCCGUACGUGUUAGCCAUGAUAUCAUUGAUAUGGAGCAAGUCAGGGUGCUAUAUAUUUUGCCCACUUUAAGUGAAAAUGUAACCUUAAACUUAUUUUUAUUCAUUAAUGAGAAAAUAUAUUCACUUCAAUAGUUCAUUUUUGAAAUAAAUUAUCAAACUUUUGAUAUAUUAUUUUACAUAAUAUUUGCUUUAAUUUGAUCAUGGGUUAGUUUUUUGGCUCAUUAAGUUUAAAUUAUUUAAAAGAUUAUUCUUAAUUCUAUUAAAUUUCAUGAUUUCAAGUACUCUUAAUCUAAAGAAAGUAAAGAUCCCAACGAUAAUUAAUGUAGCAAUAGAUAUUAAAGUGAAUUAACUAAAACAUAUAAAUUGAAAUAAAAAAUAGUCAAUCAAUACAAAAAAAGUCUGAUAAUCUAUUUCAAAAGAAAAUUGAUAUUGUCAAAAUUAUUCUUUAAUAUCGUCAGAAUAAACAAUAUUUAAAUCAUAAUUAAAUAUUCUAAUGUUUAUUCAGACAAUAUCAAAAGUAGUUUUGACAACAUUAGAUUAAUUCCAAUUCAAAAUUCGAAUCAUAUAUUUUUCAUUUCCCAAUUUAAGGCGAAUACGUGACAGGGUCAGUUGCAGCGGGCACAUCGAUCCGCAAUCACUCAGACGCUCUCGUCAAUCUCAUCAAGCUAGCAACAUAGAGAAGGAAAAAAAUUACUGCACCACAACAACAGGGAAAAAUUGAAUCCAACAAAAUAAAACUUGACUACUACUACUUGGUUUUGCUCGUUUUGUUUUGCUUCAGUUUGGCCAAAUAUAGAUACUCCGACUUUAGAGCAGCACAUUUAUUUUGUAGUUUGAAUCAAAAUUGAAAAAUAAAAUCAUAAUGACGAACAGACUUAAAAUUUUUUUUUUUUUUUGAGAAAAAAAUAGCAAGCUAUUUGCUUCAUUCAUUAAGUGAUAUGAACUAAGCGCACAAAAUGAAAUCAGCUAAGACUUCCAAAAAGCAGGCAAAAAGUGGUAGAGAUAAGAAGCAAGAAAGAAGUGGGUAGGUGGGAAAAGAGAGAGAAGAGAGAGAAACUAGUGACAUGUCGGUCCAAUUUUCCAUUGUUACUGUAUUCACUCAACCUUGGAGACAGCCUUUGUCUGACAGUAUCGCAAAACGAUGGUUUCGACUAAGGCGGUUGGCUACUGGACAAAAUCUAAUUGACAUCGACCUUGCUAUUGCAGCGACUUAUUGGGAGCUCUGGAAAGAAAGGAAUAGAAGAUUAUUCGAUAAUCUGCAGGUCCGAAGCGACGUCCUGGGUAGAUGCAUUUUUGAAACAGUCUCAUGUUGGAAGUCGGCUUUUUGCUCUUUUGGCUGUUAGGUGCUUAUUUUGUUUGUGUCUGUGUUACCUUGUAUUUUGUUCGCUGCUUUGUUUGCUGUUUGGUUUCUGUCUUGGAUCCUAAGGGGAUGCUCAUGGGACCUUUCAUUGGUUGCAAGUGCUAGGAUGCACCUUGUUCUCUUCUGAUCCUCCCUCUGUAAAAUAGGGUUCAUCCCUGUUUAAUCAAAAAAAAAAAAAAUUCCAUUGUUACAGUGAAAUAGAUUCAAACUAUAAAGAUCAAAUUAAAUAGCAGGAUUACUAAUCAAAUGUGCUCCUUUGUUUCAGUUUGAUGGAGAGCAUGGAUAGAGCAAUCUAAGAUCCUUGUUUCUACAGAGGACACGAGCACUUUCAGUAUGUAACUAGUUUUGUUAGGUUCUUCAAUUUCUUGGAUCACAAUCCUUUUGUCCCAUGGCUAUAGUUUAUCGAGUGAUUAUUGGCAUUAGGAUAUGCUUGUUAAAGAUCUUGGCCUACUCACUGAUUUUUAGUUUGUCUAACUUCGCUUUAUUGAGCAUGAUCCAAUUAUUUGUGAGAUUACAAGUGCAAACGAUGUACCCUCCUUUUGCAGCAUCCAAUACAAUUUCUUUUAUGGUGUCUCGGAAGCAUGAAAAACCAUCACUUCUGAACAAUCACUAAUUAAUUCUAGGUACCGACCAUUCUAGAGCAACUGGUGAAGGAUUUGAUGUUUGGUAUCCGAGACCCAAGUUUGAAUCCUAGUUGAUUCACAUUUCCCGCUAAGUUUAUUUCUAAAUGAAAUAAAUGAAGCGGGUAGCAUGCUAUCUUUCUCUCAAAAAAAUAAAAAAUAAAAAAAAUAAUUAAUUCUAGGUGGACAUUGACCGUCACUAGCAUAAAUAGUAUAGGAUUUAAAGACAAUGGUUAGUAUUUGAGGUCCAAAUGUUAAAUUCUAAUUGUUUUAUAUUUUCAACUAAAUUUAAUUUUUAAAAAAAUAAACGAAGCGACUAACAUAAUACCUUUACCUCUCCCCCUUUAAAAAAGAAAAGAGAGAAAAUUCUAGAAUUAACGGACCACAGCUAAUACAAUUGGCUUACUUAAUUAUACUUUAUUAUAUUAUAUUUUGUGAUCUUUUACACGUUGAUAACCUUCUUUUCGCAGUGACCAAUGAGUUGUUAUUAAUAUUUUUAAUUAUUAAUAAACCUACGAUUUUGGUCGGGUCUAAGGAGUAUUAUGAAAAAAAUGCUACCUGUAAAGGAGAGAAAAUGAUUGAGCACCAUUUGACAGAUGUUUUAUAUAUAUUUUUAAGCGGAAUCUAUCAAAAACUUAUGCCAAAAAAAGAACAUAUAUAAUCGGCUGACUUUGAUUGAGCGCAUUUACACAACUUGAUUUUAAAUUUUUAGACUUUAAUUUGACAAUUUAAAAUGAAUUUAAUAUUUUAAAUUUUAAGUUUAGUUUUAUUAUAUUUAUUUUUAAACUCCAUCAGAAUAAUAAAAAAGAAACAGAUAGAGAGAUAUUGCGUUCUAUUUCCAAUUUUAAUUCUUAUUUAGGCGAGACAUGUCCAUCGAGUCUAAAAAAAACCUCUUCUGAAACGAAAAGUUAUUUUAAAAAAACGAAAUAUUAUUAUUUUAAUAUUUUACGUUUAAAAGUUUGUACGAUAUAAUAAAUAGUGAUCGAGCUAAGUAACAAACAAUCAUUUUAGAAGUGUAAUCCUCAUUUAAAUCCUUCAAUGUAGAAUCCAAAGCAAUUGACCAUUAUUGUAUAUACAUUUAUUUAAACUGCCUCCUUAGUUGGUUGCGUCAAACUGUGUCUUCCGCCAAAAUUAUGGCGAAGAAGAAACUUCCCUUUCCCUCCUUCUUCGUCUCCGUUACAUUAUUUCUAACAUGUUUUCAACCAUGCAUGAUCGAGAGCAAUCCCCUCUCCAUUGUUGAUCCUGAUGAGGGAGACGAUCUCUACAUCAUCACCGUCGUCCCCCCGGACGGCGACAUCGACCUCCUCGGCGCCGAAGAGCUCGAGCAAUACCACCUCUCCUUCCUGCCCAACUCCACCCUCGACUCCGGCGCCCCGCGUCUCGUCCGCUCCUUCCGCCACGCCUUCAGCGGCUUCGCGGCGAGGCUGACCCCCGUGGAAGCCGCCGCCGUCAAAGUGGUGGACGGCGUCGUCUCCGUCCAGGA
rnacentral:lncRNA from 1 species